rnacentral:lncRNA from 1 species
CCCAUGAAUAUUUCAUGUGGAUGCAUCUCAGUUUUCUUGUAGUGUACCCAAAUGCCUCCCACCUUCGGAUCUACCCCCGAAACUCAAUAUUUAGAAGGAAAAAAAAGAGACAAAAAAAAGGAGAAAUGUGAAGUGGCAGAAGGAAAAAGAGAGGCAACAGAAGAAAGGAACAAGAAUGAAGAAGAAAUGAGGGUGCAGAAAGUAACCUCUAAGCGUGAACAAUUGGAAGAGGGUCGAAAUGACUGCUAAAGACUAGAAUGAUGGGGAGAUUAGAGAGAAAGAAGAAGCAAGAGACCCUUCUUGAACUACACCAAGGGAACGUCUAUGGAAGAAGAGAAAAAGUGAUAAGAGAAGUGUAG